GGGCGAUGAUGAGAGGUAGUUACUCACGAUGUAAUCAUGUGAGAAGGGUGUCCGCCCGGAAUUUUUCUUGUUACGCUUAAUGGACACCCACAAACAAAUCCUUUCUGAUCCC